rnacentral:rRNA from 1 species
GACAACCUGGUUGAUCCUGCCAGUAGUCAUAUGCUUGUCUCAAAGAUUAAGCCAUGCAUGUCUCAGUACAAACUCAAUUAAAGUGAAACCGCGAAAGGCUCAUUAAAUCAGUUAUGGUUCCUUAGAUCGUACCCACAUUUACUUGGAUAACUGUGGUAAUUCUAGAGCUAAUACAUGCAAACAGAGUCCUUCUCCGGUUCGUCCGGAAGGGAUGCUUUUAUUAGAUCAAAACCAAUCGGCGUUGGGGCGCUUAUGCGUGCGUCCUUUCGCCGCUCAAUUUGGUGAAUCUGAAUAACUUUACGCUGAUCGCACGGUCUCGCACCGGCGACGCAUCUUUCAAAUGUCUGCCUUAUCAACUGUCGAUGGUAGGUUCUGCGCCUACCAUGGUUGUAACGGGUAACGGGGAAUCAGGGUUCGAUUCCGGAGAGGGAGCCUGAGAAACGGCUACCACUUCCAAGGAAGGCAGCAGGCGCGCAAAUUACCCACUCCCGGCACGGGGAGGUAGUGACGAAAAAUAACGAUACGGGACUCAUCCGAGGCCCCGUAAUCGGAAUGAGUACACUUUAAAACCUUUAACGAUAAUCUAUUGGAGGGCAAGUCUGGUGCCAGCAGCCGCGGUAAUUCCAGCUCCAAUAGCGUAUAUUAAAGUUGUUGCGGUUAAAAAGCUCGUAGUUGAAUCUGUGUCCCGCGCUGUCGGUUCACCGCCCGCGGUGUUAAACUGGCAUGCCGCGGGACGUCCUGCCGGUGGGUGUUCGCGUCGUCUGUUCGUCGCGCGGCAUUGCGUUCUCACGUCGUUCUCUGAACUGUCGUCGAGGCGUGUGUCGUUGCGGCGUCAGUCGCGGCGCAACCCCGACUUGCAAAUCCUACCGCGGUGCUCUUUACCGAGUGUCGAGGUGGGCCGGCACGUUUACUUUGAACAAAUUAGAGUGCUCAAAGCAGGCUAAAAUUUCGCCUGAAUAUUCUGUGCAUGGAAUAAUAGAACAAGACCUCGGUCUUAUUUUGUUGGUUUUCACGACUUCKAGGUAAUGAUUAAUAGGGACAGAUGGGGGCAUUCGUAUUGCGACGUUAGAGGUGAAAUUCUUGGAUCGUCGCAAGACGGACAGAAGCGAAAGCAUUUGCCAAAAAUGUUUUCAUUAAUCAAGAACGAAAGUCAGAGGUUCGAAGGCGAUCAGAUACCGCCCUAGUUCUGACCAUAAACGAUGCCAGCUAGCGAUCCGCCGAUGUUCCUCCGAUGACUCGGCGGGCAGCUUCCGGGAAACCAAAGCUUUUGGGUUCCGGGGGAAGUAUGGUUGCAAAGCUGAAACUUAAAGGAAUUGACGGAAGGGCACCACCAGGAGUGGAGCCUGCGGCUUAAUUUGACUCAACACGGGAAACCUCACUAGGCCCAGACACCGGAAGGAUUGACAGAUUGAGAGCUCUUUCUUGAUUCGGUGGGUGGUGGUGCAUGGCCGUUCUUAGUUGGUGGAGCGAUUUGUCUGGUUUAUUCCGAUAACGAACGAGACUCUAGCCUGCUAACUAGGCGUUACUAACCGGCAUCUCGAAGGCUCGCGUCGUCCGUUCGCCGGUUCGGGCUGCGGGGGUGCGCUGCGACGUUUCGGCGUUCGCACGCGUCGCCCCGUCCGUCCGGUCGGGCGUUCGCGGUUUUUACUGCCGGCGUACAAAUAUAUCUUCUUAGAGGGACAGGCGGCUCCUAGCCGCACGAGAUUGAGCAAUAACAGGUCUGUGAUGCCCUUAGAUGUUCUGGGCCGCACGCGCGCUACACUGAAGGAAUCAGCGUGUCCUCCCUGGCCGAAUGGUCCGGGUAACCCGCUGAACCUCCUUCGUGCUAGGGAUUGGGGAUUGCAAUUGUUCCCCAUGAACGAGGAAUUCCCAGUAAGCGCGAGUCAUAAACUCGCGUUGAUUACGUCCCUGCCCUUUGUACACACCGCCCGUCGCUACUACCGAUUGAAUGAUUUAGUGAGGUCUUCGGACUGGCGCGCGUCGAGGUUUCGACCCCGUUGCGCGUCGCUGGGAAGAUGACCAAACUUGAUUAUUUAGAGGAAGUAAAAGUCGU